rnacentral:rRNA from 1 species
GAUGAACGCUAGCGGCAGGCCUAAUACAUGCAAGUCGAGGGGCAGCACGAGUAGCAAUACUUGGUGGCGACCGGCGCACGGGUGCGUAACACGUAUACAAUCUGCCUUUUACAGGGGAAUAGCCCGGAGAAAUUCGGAUUAAUGCCCCAUAAUAAAUUGAAUGGCAUCAUUUGAUUUUGAAAGCUCAGGCGGUAAAAGAUGAGUAUGCGUCCUAUUAGCUAGUUGGUGAGGUAACGGCUCACCAAGGCGACGAUAGGUAGGGGAUCUGAGAGGACGACCCCCCAAACUGGUACUGGGACACGGCCCAGACUCCUAGGGGAGGCAGCGGUAAGGAAGAUUGGGCAAUAGAGGCAACGUUGAACCAGCCAUGCCGCGUGCAGGAAGACGGUCCUAUGGAUUGUAAACUGCUUUUAUACGGGAGAAAACCCCGGUACGUGUACCGGGUUGAUAGUACUGUAAGAAUAAGGAUCGGCUAACUUCGUGCCAGCCGCCGCCGUAAGAC